rnacentral:rRNA from 1 species
UGCCAGACUCCUACGGGAGGCAGCAGUGGGGGAUAUUGCACAAUGGGGGAAACCCUGAUGCAGCGACGCCGCGUGAGUGAAGAAGUAUUUCGGUAUGUAAAGCUCUAUCAGCAGGGAAGAAAAUGACAGUACCUGACCAAGAAGCCCCGGCUAACUCCGUGCCAGCAGCCGCGGUAAUACGGAGGAUGCGAGCGUUAUCCGGAUUUAUUGGGUUUAAAGGGUGCGUAGGCGGAAUAUCAAGUCAGCGGUAAAAAUUCGGGGCUCAACCCCGUCGUGCCGUUGAAACUGAUGUUCUUGAGUGGGCGAGAAGUAUGCGGAAUGCGUGGUGUAGCGGUGAAAUGCAUAGAUAUCACGCAGAACUCCGAUUGCGAAGGCAGCAUGCCGGCUCCACACUGACGCUGAGGCACGAAAGCGUGGGUAUCGAACAGGAUUAGAUACCCCGGUA